AUCGAAAUAGAAGACUUGUUCCGGUACGCGAUCGGAAAAAGAUUGUUUCGAGAUGCCCAAACAAUGGAAGAAGCCAGAGGAAAAUUAGUUACAGUGGUCAAGUACCUGAAAGGUUCUAGCUUGCUUUUGGAUAGUGAGGAAGAAGGAUGUGUUAAGAUGCAUGAUGUCAUCCGGGAUACAGCCCUGAAUAUUGCACAAUCUGAAGAUGGGCAUCGGUUUUUUGUGAAAGCUGGCUGUGGUUUAAAGGGUUGGCGGCCACGCGGAUUACAUGAAGGCUGCACUGCUAUUUCACUAAUGAGGAACAAAAUUCGCAAGCUACCCGAAGAAGAGUUGGUAUGUCCAAAUCUCCAGAUUUUAUUACUAAACAGGAAUUUUGGACUAAGUGAGAUCCCCGAAAAGUUGAUCCAGAAUCUGAAAGAGUUAAGGGUCUUGGAUCUUAGCAACACUAGUAUUUCCGUAUUACCCCAAUCAUUUAGUCUCCUCACCAACCUCCAAGCUUUGUAUUUAGAUGAUUGCAGCAAAUUAAUUGACAUUUCCGUUGUGGGGAAACUUAACAAGCUUGAAAUUCUUAGUAUGAGAGGUUGUCCCAGGGGGCAAUUGUUCAGAGAAAUAGAACAUUUGACCAAUCUACGGAUUUUGGACGUCAAUCGCUCUUGGGGACAAUUCAUAUUGAGAGGAAGAAUGGUUACAAUUCCAUCUAAAGUGAUAUCAAAGUUGCAAGAAUUAGAAGAAUUGUACAUGGUGUACUAUGUAUUUGAGGAGGAUGGGUCGUGUGUAGCUGAGGGACCAAGAGAAAGAACCAAUAUUAUUAGGUUUGAUGAGAUAGCUGGUUUAUCAAAUUUGAAAAUAUUGCAGGUUGGCUUAUCCGAUGAAGGUUUUAUCCCUAAAAAUGUUGAGGCCGCACCAGAUUGGGAUUACUUUUGUAUAAGUGUCUUCGGCAGAUGCAGCGACACUACAUUCUGGCCCGUUGCAUACAAACAAGGAGAUCGUAAUUCAAGAUCCUUGCUUCUUAAUGGAGCAACCAUCAAUACCUUGGCUGAUUGGUUUAUCAAAGCGGUGACAGAGAAAACAGAAAAGCUAGAGUACAACCGCUGCAAAGGGAUGAGUGACAUUGUUAUGGAAUAUGACCGUGGGAGGUUACAUAAACUCAAGCAUCUCACAGUUGCUGGGCCACAAGACGAGUUGAAAGAGUUGAUGAACACAACAAGACGAGUUGAAAUAGGACCAGUGUUUGAGAAUUUGGAAGAGUUGCAUCUGAAAUUAGUGUUCGACCUGGAGGAGUUGUGUGUUGGUGAGUUACCACCUGGGUCUCUCUCAAAUCUCAAGGUGUUUCAUGUGUAUUGUGGUUGGAUUUUGAGGAGUGUAUCAGAAUUUGUACAGAGACUACCAAAUCUGAAGAAACUAGAUUUAAACUCUAUGCUCAAAUUGGAACAUGUGUUCAGAUGCGAAGGGUUCGAGCCAGAACAAUCAAAACUGAGAGAGAUGCAUUUGUUGUGGCUAGAAGAACUAAGAAACAUAUGUAAUGGACUAAUGGUCCCGCUCCACGUGCAAUGUUCCAGAGUCUUAAGAUUUUGACGAUUUACCGUUGCGAGCUGCUGCAAAGUCUGUUCGCAUCUGAUGUAGCUCAGUGUCUUGUUCAAUUGGAAGACCUUCUUGUACAGGAUUUCCCUUUGUUGGAAAGAGUAAUGGAAGCAGUGAACAAGGAGAAGACGGUUCUACCAAAACUGAAGAACUUGGUUUUGAAGAAUCUUCCUAAUUUGUAUGGUGCAAUUGCUGUCGUUGAUAUUGAGUGUCCUUCAUUGGUACGCUUGAUGGUGGUGGAUUGCCCCAAGCUUUUGUUUUCAACCUCUUCCGAUCUCUUCGAAGCCUUCAAAUGCAGGAACCAAUUUUCAUUUUCAGCCUCCACGUCUGACCCAGUCCAACUCGAUGAUCCACAACAUUACCAAACUCUACGUGGCAGGUAUUGAAAUAGUUUCUUAGUUUGUUCUUUUCUUCUGUAUUUUGUAGGGCAGCAAUUGGGCAAAAACUGAUUUGAUCAAUUAAUAUCUGUGAUUCAAUUUUUAUUCGUCCCACUCUUUUAAAACAAUUGAGCUCUAACUAUAGGACAGAACACGAAACACAAUUAAAAUAGUAUUUUUAUUUUCAUUCUUAUUUUUCUUUGUUAUCUGUGAACAACAACAAAAAAGUCAAAAUUAUGCACAAUAUUUAAAGUUGAUGAUUGUUUCGUUUUCUUUACUCUAGUAAUGCAAGUUAGAAGCAAUGUUAUGGACACUCCUAGAAUGUUACUUUUCUGUUUAAAUCUAUAAUUUUAAUAGUAAUUCUUUUUUCUUUUCUUUUUUUUCCUAUUUUGAUGCAACAGAACAUCUGGUUUCCACUAGUGAAGUCUCUAGCUCAGCUUCUGACUUCCAUUGCAGGAAGUAACCAAGUUCAACUCUAUUUCUUUGUCCAGGUAUGCUAUGUGAUCAACUGAAUUAUUUUCUUUUCAUUGAAUGGUAAAUUUCUUGUGAUUCCAUAGAAACUACAAAUGUCACCUUUUUCUAAGAUAAUGGAGUUCUCAUAAUUCAUUGGCUUUCCCAGUCUUCUGUGUAUUAGUGAUUCAGUGCAACAAGCAAAAUUUUAACUACAAUUUUCUUUUUCGCUCCUAUGUUCUUAUUUUUCUUGUUAUAAUUCGUCGUUAUCAAUCAUUUCUUGGACAGUAAAUUGGUUGUUGGACAAAUCCAGCACGCGGAUACUAGAUGAGAGAGAAAGUACUGGAAGCUCCCCAGAAAGAAGGUUAGAGCUGAAAUCAAGGACCUCAAGAUGAGUCAAGGACAAGAAGGAAGCAACACUUUGAUGUAGAAAAUUUUGGGAGAGAUUCAAGUGGGUGAGAUGUGUGAGAUUUUCAAGUGCUAGUUUUGAUGAAGCAAAUGUAAUACAUUGUUUGAGUGUGAGGCCAUCGGAGGCCAAUGAGAUACGGGUGACCCAACCAGCCGCAUCGCAGUUGAUGCCUUGCCAGCAGCAACAGCCACCGGAAGUCCAGUUUAAGGAAGAAAGAGAAGAAAGAGCCAGAGAGAAGUAUGUUCAGUUGGGUUGCAUGCAUGGAUGAUACUAGCAGUACUACUUAGUAUGUAACAGAAUACGAUAAGAAAAAGAAGGAAACAAUGAGAAUUGAUGAUCUAGACGUGGACAACAACAACGAGCAUGAAACCGCAUGGCUCCUUUCGUCAACUCCCUGGUUUUAUGUUCUUGCUGGGAUUGGGUUCAUUGUAGGAUUCUGGGGAGUGUGUGGUUCAUUGAUUUUCAGCGAGACACGGAGAUAUGCAUACUUCCGUUUCAUAGAAAAGGUACAAGACAUGUUCUACGUGACGAUCGCUGUGUGUAUCAAGUACCAACAAGAUGAAGAGAAGGCUGGACCUGAAUUUGUAAUUACCCACUGUUGCUUGUUUUCAAUUGUGAAUUUGUGGCACCUGAAUCGUGAGUGAUGCUGCUGAAAUGCUUCCUCUUUUUCAUUAGUUCAAUCCACACCUUCCUCUUAAGGAAAACUAAAUCAGUAACAGGGUUUCAAAUGGGAUGAGAGUUCUAUAAUAUGACCAACAUAAUCAUCAACUCACUGAAAAUGAGAGGAGAAAACAUUCAAUGAAUCAGCAGGGAGCACCGCAAAUUGCAAAGAUUAUUCCGCAUGUGUCUUCUAGUACCUGUUAUAUAAAGAACUGUAUGAAACAAUACAGCUUGCAUUGAAAAUGUCAAAUAUUUGUACAAUUAAUGGCUCUAAUAUGACACCCUCAAAUUCAAAACUGCAUCGGCUUGAACAACACAGGAUUCUAGCUAAAUUUGCUAACAACACAGGAUUCUAGCUAAAUUCAAAACUCGCCGGUGUUGUUGGAUGGUUUCUGUUAAGAAUUUGGCACUAGCCGACCAUUGUACAUCUUCUCAAGUAGAUGCUUUGCAUCAGGCCUCCUGAGAAGACCUUUGUUGUUUGGUACACCAGUCCCUAAACAUACGGGCAAACGAGUUUUCCACAACCUGACAAUAAUAAGAACCAAUCACUCAUCAAAGAUAAUGAGUAUCCAUAACAGUAGGAUACAAACAUUAUUUCUUCUUUGCUCCUUUGCUCUAAGUCUUCAUCGUUGAUUAUAAAUCUUAGAGCUGAGCACCAAAUAUUUUCAAAACCCAUAUCAUUGUUCAUUGUUCAUGCAUACUUUGGGAGCGGUCUAGGUGAUGCAACCUGGUGAAAUCUUCAUAGAGAAUUCGCUAGGGAGUUAGUUAAGUUCGUGUGAACCAUGUUGUAAGCUGUCUCAGAGAAUUAGCCAAAGGCGUUAGUUAAGUUCUGCUUUGAAGCCUAGCAUAAUCUUAUGUGUAAAACACUUGAGAGACAAGAGAGCAAGUUCGGUUGAGUGCUAGCAGUUAGACUAGGCAGUAUGGCUAGGCGUGGUGACAUCCUCUGAGUUGUGAGUCUUGUAAAGAAGUGUGUUUAGAAUAGUGAAAAAGUUUGUUCCUCAAGAUCAGUUAGGGGCACACAGUUUUUCUUCAUGGGUGCAAGGUUUCUGCGAGUAAAAAUGUACUUGUGUUAUAUCUUUACUUUCUAAUACUUACAUAUUUAUAUUCACAACUUAGUCUCACAGCAAACAGGAUAGCCUAAUCUUUGUUAUCCUUGUGCAUGAGAUAGAGCAAAAAGUUGUCAGAGAUUAAGGCCUGAAAUAUUCCCUAAUGUCAAAACAUAUCCAUGGUAAGUUAUACAAUAUUGUUUUUGUAAGCCACCAAAACCAACUAUACUCUUCAAGUUAACAUUAUAAUAUAAGAAGAAUUAGGUUGAAAGUGCCACAGAAAAGCAAAACAGGAGCUAGUAGUCUCUGUCCACUUAAAAAUCCUUCCUAACUCAAACAUUUCAUCAGAAGAUAUCAAAGCAAUGGUAAUGCCCACUACGCGAAAGACUCAUAAGAAAGACUCUAUCUUCUAUCUUCUCUUGAACAAAAUACUAAAUCCAUGAUUCAAGAGACAAAUUGAAUGAACUCUUCACGGCCCGUAAAAGAGAAGAUUGAACAAAGCAAGUAGCAUUAAGAACAUAAAUGAUGUGUCAGCAGACAAGUAAGGACUAAUCAAACAACUUGCAUCAGGCAACAUGAAAGAAAUAAGCAUCAAGCCAACACAUAUCCCUUCAUUUUUUGUUGGAAACUAUAGUAAUCGCUUAUAAUCAAGAUAGUUGACAGAAAAAAGAUCAAUACCUUCGAUGGUUUAGCUGAAUGGUCCGAAUCCUCUCGACUGCCACUCUUGUUGUCAAGAUUGGAUCUUACAUGAAAGUAUGAAACCCAACUGACUUUGAGUUCACUGCAUACAAAUGAUAGUUAAAACCAUUGCCUAAUCAACAAUAGCAUCUCUACAUAUGCUAUUGUAUUCAUGCUUUUAUAGAUACAUGCAACUAAAGAAACAGAAAACCAGAUAAGAGUAUCUGAAGGGAACUGACUGGUUUAAGUUGCAGAGAGAAAAAGAACACUUAUAGUGGGCUGGUGAGGAUUUUGGUAGGUGUUGCGGUAUGGCUGACUGGCUGAGAGAUGAGAGGAAGAAGAAGAAGCCAUCUUCUCUCUUUCUACGUUCCCCACGACAACGUAGAAAGAGGAAGAUUCCAAUCAAGAAGAAGAACCUUGAUUGCUCAGUGUGAGACUCUUCUCUUUCGUAUAACAUUUCAUUGCUUUUGAAAGAAAACAAGUUUUAAUUACUGAAUAUGAAUAUAUGAUACGAUCACUAGAGAAGAAAUAUGAAACAGAAGAAACUCUAGCUACCUAUAAUCAGAAUAGAAUGGCAUCCCCCCUCUAGUUAAAAAAAAAAAAAGACGACUUGGGUUUUUAGCGGGCUAGGCGGAGACGGUCCACGUCUAGGCGGUCUGGGCCGUGAUGAGUUUAGACCUAACGGGUAACGGGCCGUGAUUUACCUAGACUUAACGGGUAACAGGCCGUGAUGGGCCUAGACCUACGCAUUGUAUUCGAUCGUAACGGGGUACGGGGAUAAACGGGUAAUGGGUAUGGGGAUCCCCAAUAUUCGAAUUUUUGAAUCAGGUACGGGACGGGUAUGAUAUUUUGAUAUUUGUUCUUAUCCCCAUCCAUUUAGGAUUAGAAAUAUUAUUAUAUAUAAUUUAUUAUAUAUAUAUAUUAAUAUAUAUAAUUCAUAAAUAGAUGUUAUGUAAAAUUCUUUUGCAAUAUUAUUUUUUUUUUUGAUUCUCACCAUGAAUAUUUAUAGAAACUUUCUUNNNNNNNNNNNNNNNNNNNNUUUUUAAGCGAGACUUGUAUUUGUUUUUGUUAAAUUGAAUCAAUAAACUUAUUUAUUUUGAUAUUUGAUUCUAAUUUCAUAUUUCUAUAUUUCUAAAUUUUAAAAAAAAUUAAUUUAUUAAAUAAUUGUUAAUAGGGAUCGGAACGGGUAUGAGAACGUAAUCCCAAAGAGGACGGGGACGGGGAUGGGGAAUCCCUUACCGGGUUUGAGAUGGGCAUGAGGAUUGAGAAUGAAAUGGUGUAUGGGUAUAAUUUUUUGAUCGCCUGACCAUACCCUCCCCAUUACUCAUGUUAUGGCCUCGUUAUGCUCAUGUUACGGUAAUUGCGUGUUCUACAGCAUUUCUGAAUUUCCAGUACUAAUGUCCUUGAAAGUAUUUCUUAUAUAUUUCCUAGUAGCAGUAUCAGUAUUAGUACUUGAAAUUGAUGGUUUUGGUCUUGUGCUUCCCUAUAACAUGAAGUUCAAAAUGAGAAACUUGAAAUUGAUUUCAGGGCUUAUCCCAUUCCCAGCCCAUUCAGGUUGGGUCGUGCUUGGAAACCGACCGCGCAAACCAAGUCCCUUGAAAUUCGCGCGCAGACGCAUUGAACCGGCUGCUCUAUUUAACGCUCCGGUUCGGCGCGUGGAGGUUACCCACUUCUCGCUUCAACUCCGUCGUCCCCUUCCUCCGCUCUGCUUGAAAUGGAGUCAAGGUACUUUCUACUCUUUCUAUUACAUUCAAACUUGUUUGGGUUGUCUUUUAUUCUGUACGGGUUUUUGGGAUUGGGGCUACUAAACUUCAUUUCAAUUUGCUUGACGGGAGGAAAUUGAUUGAUACUAUAUUUUGUACUUCGUUGGCUUCUGGGCUAUAAGGUGUAACAAAUCAAAGGUUGUGUCUUUUGGCUUCAUUCGCAAACCUUGAAGAGAAAUUUUGGAUUAGUUUGCUGUCGUCAUUGUUAUGCCUGUGUUGUUUUAGCUGAAGUUUCUAACUUUGGGACAUUUGCUUCUCCAAUAAACUUGCUAUAAUGCGAUUACUGUCAUCAGCAUACUUGUUGUUUGUUUUUCAGGGGGAAACUCCAUGAUACCUAUGGCUUAUAAGCAGGUUUGUAUGAGCUCAUUAUUACACACGGGCUAAGCAUGACUGUUGUCCUUCCUAUGAAAGCUCAACUGUUUCUGGUAAUUUCAUAGUACUAUAGUCUACCUAACUACUAUUCCGGUUUUGGCAGUUAAGUAUUUGUAAGGUGAUAACAUUGUUGCUAGCAUUCAGAAUUUUGGUUCCAGUUGCUUUGUUCCCUUGUUGCUUACAUACAUUAUCCUGUAUUAUUCUUAAAAUCCGACUAAACCAUGCCUCUGGAUUGUUUUCCGACUAAAUUAUGCUGCUGCUUCUACUAGGUGUUUGAGAGAACUAGUAGAUAUUUUUCAGUGCAUGGACGACUACGAGUGAAUUCUUCCAAUUUUUCAUAAUGUGAGAUAUCAGAAAGGAGUUUUGGAGAAGCUUUGGAUAACCAUGAAAGGACGUCUGUGCGAUACGAAUCUGAGAAGGUCCAGUGGAGAGAUGCUUUAACAAUAGUGGCCAGUUUGGCUGGGUGCGUGGGAUUAACAUAAUUAAAAGUAAGCAUCAUCAAUUACUAAGAAUUAUACUUGUGCUUAUUCAUAUUGCUGACCAUUAUUUCACCCUUAACUCUUCCUUUUAGGUUGAUAGAGAACUUCUCGACUCCAUUGUGUGCAGUAAAGUACAACCUAUUGAAAUCAACACGAGAGAUUUUGAAGCAUCGGAACCACCAAUUAUUGAAACUGAGCCUACAAUAUCGGAAUCAAAUGAAGAAUUUGAAGUACUUGGAGCUCGACGACGAGCUACUAACGUGACUGAAUAGUUUGAACUAGUAGAAGCAACAACACAAACCACUAAUGGAAACUGUGAGUUGCUCGAUUUUUAGCUCUCUAUUGUCACUUCCUCAUGAUCUGUCACCCUCCCUUCAUGUCUGUUUUUCACUGUGGUUUCCCUCUAAUCUGUUUCUCUUUGUUAGUUUCUUGACUGUUCUUGAUACCUAAUAGAUUAUUCAUUAUGGUAUUCAAACUUUGGGAGUUGGGUUAUUGACAAGAUGCAGCUUAAAAGACCAGAAAACAAUGGGUAACCUACGAAAAAUUAAACAGACAAUGCCCCUUUUCUUAAUAUAGGAUUAUGGGGAUGCUCAAAACUAAAUGUUUAGUUAAACAUUAGGACACUGGACAUCUACCACUAGUUGUGUUUGGGGUUUGAGGUUUAGUAAACAAAGAUGUGAAUCACGUGAUCAGAUUUGAGGCUCUGUGUGUAGCUUAUUUUCAUGGAGUUAAUUAGGUAGUCUCUCUACCAUCAAAUAAAUCCACCUAUUCUUGUGAUUUCAAAAGUAAAUUACAUACAUACUUUCAAAAAAGAAGAAGCAAAUUAUACAUAAUUAUUUUACAUAUUGGAACGACUUGUAAACGUUGUCUGGCUACCUACUAAUCACGGGGUGAGAUUAAUUAGAGAACUGUUUGAUAUCAUUUUCACAUAUUUUAAAGUAUUAAGAAAACGUUGUCCGGCUAGUGGCUGCAUACUAAUCACGGGGUGAGAUUAUUUAGAGAACUGUUUGAUAUCAUUUUCACACAUUUUAAAGUAUUAAGCAAGUUUCGGAUCAACUUCCAGUUUUGUAGUUUAAUUGCAUAUGAUUAUCUUAUUGGCCGGCAGCAAGUUGAGAUAUUAUAACAUCUGGGUUUGGUGUUUUCUCAAGUAAUAGGUUUUAAAUACAUGACAUUUCUGUAUCAUGACAUUUUCACCAUGUGAAACCGAAGAUUAGGAUCACCUUAUUCAGACAACUAACUCAUUUAAAAUGACUUCUAUGGCCAAGUUGUUAGUUAUCUAUGUCAUGGUUGACAACUUUCUUUUGGGUUAAAUAAUUUCCACAAGCUUUUGCCUUCGGUGGGUUCCAAUGAGGCAAUGACCUGCAAUUGGAGACAUUAUUGGCUCUCUUGUUGUUUCCAGUGAAUUGAGCAGGAAAAGUUGAUGUAAAUAUUGAUGAUACAUAUCGGUGGGAAGUUUCCAGUGAAUUGUGAUGGAAGUUGCUGUAAAUAUCCAUGGGUAGUUUGAAUGAUCUUGUCAAGAAAUGCUAGUAAGAAAGAUAGUGAGUGGGACAUGAACGGGAUUUAUUGAAAUUUGAAUGCUUCGGUAUGUAUAAAGUAAGAACUAUUUACACAGAGACUUUAGUUUUCCAGUCAUAAAAAGAGUAGAAAGCGACUGAUACCAACCGCCACGAAAGUAGGGGAAAUUUGGACACACUCUAGUCUCUCUUUUCUCCGUUCAAACUAUCUCUGUGUCUUCCAUUUAAUUUAAUAACAUAUACUAUUCUUUAAGAUGAUGUCAGCCUCUAAUAGCGUACUGUUCAGCUAACUGUUUAUACGGAGCAGUGUUGGGUCGGGUCUGCAUUUCAGUGUUUUGGGGGGGCCAUAUAUAUAUUUGUUGUCCUUUGAGGUUAAGGGGAUUAGGGCCUCGAUUGGCUUUGUCAGUUGAUUUGGGCUUUGGCAACACAUAAUUUAUUGGUCUCGGUCCAACAAGACAAUGAAGUGUAUCUCUGUCUCAUUCCUGAAACUUCCAGACCUCAUCGUUCUCUCUCACUCUCUCUGCCGGAUACUUUUUCCUUUUCUCCAUAGCCGACCUCAUCGUUCCAUAACCGUCCCCUUUGCCAGAUUCUUUCCCUUUUUCUUCACAGCUCUCUCUUCAAGCUUUCAGAUUGAUCCUCUUCAAGCUUUCAGAGUUAUCUCUCUCACAAACUUCGCCGCAUUAAAGAUUGAUCCUCUCCUUCUAUCUUGCUGAUCGGCGACUGAUCUGGAAAAUGAGCUAACCGACGAAGGUGAAUGCCUCUCUCACUCUUUUGGUUGAUACCCAGAUCGUUUUUUUUUUUUGGCAUUUGAUUGCUUAAAGUUUGAGUCUUUAAUACUUUUUGAGACAAUUUGGUGUGUGUUCAGUUGGUGGUGUGAUAAAUUGGGUUUUCGUGAUUGGUUUCUUUGAGUCUGGUAGUGAUUGUGUUUGUAUUGAUGUGGGUUUCGGUGUUGGUAAUGGAAAGUAGCUUCCUUUUGACCAUUUGUUAGGUGGUGUAGUUCAUUGUGUGAUUUGAGAUUCUGGGUUUUUAAGCUGCAAAUUCACAAGAUAUAGGGUGAUUAUUAAAGGUUGUUAAUUGAUUAGAGUUGAAAAUUUGAAUACGAAGUUGUUCUUAUAUUACUAAUAAACUCUUCUUACAGGUUGAUUUGUUGGGCAAGGUGCGGUGACUCCAAAUUGGUCUUAGUUGCAUUACAAGAACUGUGAAUAUUUAACUUCAAAGGGUCUGACAGGUGAAAAGCAGUUAGCCUCUUCCAAUUUAGUUUUGAUCCGUUUUCUUUUAUAUACAGUAUAUACCUUUUCCAUAUUUUGUAUUUGGUUUGGCUACUUACAUGUACAUGUGCAUCAAUUUCAUUGACAUUUAUAAGAAUAUAUUUUUGUUCCUAAUUAGUUCUUAUCGCAUGUUAGUACAUUUAAUAGAUUUGAGCUGAUUGGGUUUUUUUUUCCCAAUUCAAGUUUUGUCUCUUUAUAAUUAUCCAUAACUAGAAGAUUAUGUAUGUAUCAACCUUUUGCUCUGAGCAUGAGGCCAAGAGAGGAAGGAGAAGGAGAGAGACGAUGAAGAAGAAAAUUGGCUUCAUUGGUGUGUUUUGAUAUAGGAUUACAGUACUACAUAAAUUUGAUCUUAAAUGAGGUGUUUAUAUAAGUUUAGUGGAUGAAGCUAAAAUUGAACUCUUAGGGUUUUUGAUUAUAAGUUUGGAUCUAAGACCAAACUCUUCUAAGUUUAGUGGAUGAUCUAAGACCAAACUUAUUUUCUUAAAAAAAAAUUAACAUGUGUAUCUCAGUAAGUUAAAUCUUUUUCACAUACCUUUCUUGAGCAAUGCUUAGUUUGAAAGUAUGAAAUGACAAGUUAAAUACAACAUUAUGUGCAGAGAAGUGAACUUUGCUUAUGUGCAAAACAUGCUUUGCUAAAUGCACUGUUUCUGUAAAAGAUUAACCUUUCAUUGGUGUAACUUAAAACAUUCUAAUUCUUACAUAGAACUUCCUGCCUUUUUCUUUGUUAUAUCUUCUUUCUUACAUUAGAUUAACCACUUUCACUUUUUACGUCUAUUUAACCUUCUUUGAUUUUUCACUCUUUGGAUUUUAUUGUUCAAUCAACAGAGAUGAAAGAGGCAAAAGUAAGCUGAAAACAAAGCAGAAGCAAAUGGCAUUGCUCAUGUUCUUUUACAACACAACAAUCAAUUCUGAUUGUACGUAUGAUCGACUGUGAACAUUCAGGUUGUAAUUAUUUUUGGUAUCUGAUUGUAAUUGACCGACAUUUUUGGUACAAAACAUAGGUGGUAAUUAUUUAUGAUUUAAUCACCUAUAUAUGGUGUGCAGAAGAUAGGUUGUAACAACUUUUUCAUACAAUCACGGUGUUCUAUAUCUAUCACAUGUUAUCCUAUAUAUCAAUUAUUUGUACAUAACUCAUUCCCAAUUAUGCUAUCAUUGACACUUAACUUAAAACAUCAAAACAAUGAUGUAACUUAUUAGCUCAUUAUCUCAUUAUCUCAUUUCUCAUCAAUAACUCGAGAUCAUACCCGCUGCAACGCGCGGGAUUACUAUCUAGUUUUCUCCAUUUUUUGUCUUAUCACGUGCUCUUGUUUGAACAGAAAGGGUUUACAUAGAUUUUUUCACUAUUGGAGUUCUGCAGCCUAGCUCUCCUGUCGACCUGUAAUAGCCGAAGCUAAUGGAUUUCUAUUUCUUCGAGGUUAGAAACAUAAGUAUUUCAUAAGUUUUACCCUCCAAUAUUUGUUAAUGUUUUGUGUUCGUUGGUUUCAACUCCCUUUUGUGCUUCUUCUGUAUGUUUGCAUAUCACAAAAAGAUAUCGUUGGCGAUUGUUGCGGUAAUUGUGACAUGGAUGGGUUGCAAGGCCAUUAAGGGGAUAUGGACUCGAGUAAAGCGUCGGAUAAGUUACAUGGUCAGAAAGUCGCAGGAUAAUCAAGGAGUGGUCAACUUGAAUGCCUCUGAAUCGCUUGCUUCAUCAUCAGAACCUCGUCGCUGGAAGUAUGAUGUGUUUUUGAGUUUCCGGGGUCCUGAUACUCGCAAAGGGAUUACAGCCCAAAUACGCGAUCGACUUCGUAGAAGUGGCAUUAUAACGUUCAUGGAUGAACCAGAUCUUAGAGUAGGGGAUACCAUUUCGCCCACUCUCAUAAAGGCAAUUAAAGAGUCAAGGUUUGCAAUCGUGAUUCUCUCGCAAAAUUACGCUUCUUCUGCUUGGUGUUUGGAGGAACUUCGUGAGAUUUGUCAAUCCAUGGAAGAGAGUAGAAUUUUGCCACUUUUUUUUGAAGUUGAUCCUACUGAUGUUCGAUAUCAGAAGAGGAGUUUCGAAGAAGCUUUCUCUAAGCACGAUACCUCUGGGCGACAUGAAUCAGAGAAGGUGGAGCAAUGGAGAGCUGCUCUAGAAAAAGUGGCCAAUAUCUCAGGGUGGAAUACAAAUGAUUUCAAGUAAGCGUUGUGCCUUCAAUUUCAAUUCUAAAUAUCAAUUUUACCUGACACUUAUCUAUUAAUCCUUAUAACUCUUUAAUUCUUCCUUGUAGGACUCACAGUGAACUUGUUGACAAGAUAGUGGAAUCUCUCCGCCGUAAAGUACCACCUGAUGCAAUUGAAUUCACAGAUGAUUUCCAAGCAUUUGGAGCAACAAAAGAAGCGACAGACAAGGUUAUGAAGGCGCUAACAGAUGACAAGAUUACUGCCGUUGGUGUCUAUGGCAUGGGUGGCGUUGGAAAGACAAGCAUGGUGAGACAUGUAGCUGCACAAGCCUGCAGAAAUGGUUUUUUUAACCAUUGGAUUAUGGGUGUUGUAUCCCAAAACCUUGACUUGGCAAAAGUUCAAGGUACAUUGGCAGAUUUGUUGGGCUUUAAAUUCGUGGAGGAUACAGAAGCUGGAAGAGCCGUUAGGUUGCAUAAGGAGAUCAUGAGAAAGGACAAACUCCUAAUAAUUGUGGACGAUGUUUGGGAGAGAACAGAGUUGUCAAAGAUAGGGAUUCCCACCUACAAUGAGCUUCAAAAGUGCAAGUCCAAAGUGCUACUCACCACCAGGAGAUUGAACGUCUGUAAUGCCAUGAAGUGCCAUGAAAAGAUCAGCCUCAAAGUUCUCUCAGAUCAAGAUUCUUGGACCUUGUUCGUGAGAAAUGCAGGAACAAUUUCUUUGGAGCCCACCUCAUUUGAGAAAGUGGCAAGGAGGGUAGCUUUAGAGUGUAAGGGUCUACCGAUUGCAUUGAUAGCUGUUGCAAGGGCACUCGGAGAUGAGGACCAGGAGGAAUGGGAGAAGGCAGCUGAACGACUAGAGCAGUCGCAAUAUGUCAAUCCCAACCAUGAGGAAGAUGAGGAAAAUGCGUUCAGUUGUAUACGAUUAAGCUAUGAUUACUUGAAAAAUGAAGACCACAAGUCAUGCUUCUUGCUCUGUUGCCUGUUCCCAGAAGACCAUGACAUCGAAAUAGAAGACUUGUUCCGGUACGCGAUCGGAAAAAGAUUGUUUCGAGAUGCGAAAACAAUGAAAGAAGCCAGAGGAAAAUUAGUUACAGUGGUCAAGUACCUGAAAAAUUCUAGCUUGCUUUUGGAAAGUGAGAAAGGACGUGUUAAGAUGCAUGAUGUCAUCCGGGAUACAGCCAUUCAAAUUGCCGAAUCUGAAGAUUGCCAUCGGUUUUUGGUGGA
rnacentral:lncRNA from 1 species